UACAGAGGUCCCAAGCGUUGUUCGGAAUUAUUGGGCGUAAAGAGCUCGUAGGCGGUUUGUCGCGUCUGGUGUGAAAAUCCAGGGCUUAACCCUGGACCUGCAUCGGGUACGGGCAGACUAGAGUGCGGUAGGGGAGAUCGGAAUUCCUGGUGUAGCGGUGAAAUGCGCAGAUAUCAGGAGGAACACCGGUGGCGAAGGCGGAUCUCUGGGCCGUAACUGACGCUGAGGAGCGAAAGCAUGGGGAGCGAACAGG
rnacentral:rRNA from 1 species